CCUACGGGAGGCAGCAGUAGGGAAUAUUGGGCAAUGGAGGAAACUCUGACCCAGCCAUGCCGCGUGCAGGAUGACGGCCCUCUGGGUUGUAAACUGCUUUUAUACGGGAAGAAAAAUGCUACGUGUAGCACAUUGACGGUACCGUAAGAAUAAGGAUCGGCUAACUCCGUGCCAGCAGCCGCGGUAAUACGGAGGAUCCAAGCGUUGUCCGGAUUUAUUGGGUUUAAAGGGUGCGUAGGCGGAUCUUUAAGUCAGUGGUGAAAGCCUGCAGCUCAACUGUAGAACAGCCAUUGAAACUGAAGAUCUUGAAUAUGGUUAAAGUAGGCGGAAUGUAUCAUGUAGCGGUGAAAUGCUUAGAUAUGAUACAGAACACCGAUAGCGAAGGCAGCUUGCUGAACCAUUAUUGACGCUGAGGCACGAAAGCGUGGGGAGCAAACAGGAUUAGAUACCCUGGUAGUCCACGCCCUAAACGUUGAUUACUCGUUGUUGGCGAUAUACUGUCAGCGACUAAGCUAAAGCGUUAAGUAAUCCACCUGGGAAGUACGACCGCAAGGUUGAAACUCAAAGGAAUUGACGGCUGAGAGAGCGAGACGACGACGAGGGAGGAGG
rnacentral:rRNA from 1 species